ACGGGGGGGGGCAAGCGUUGUUCGGAAUUACUGGGCGUAAAGGGCUCGUAGGCGGCCAACUAAGUCGGAUGUGAAAUCCCCGGGCUCAACCCGGGAACUGCGUCCGAUACUGGAAGGCUUGAAUCCGGGAGAGGGAUGCGGAAUUCCAGGUGUAGCGGUGAAAUGCGUAGAUAUCUGGAGGAACACCGGUGGCGAAGGCGGCAUCCUGGACCGGUAUUGACGCUGAGGCGCGAAAGCCAGGGGAGCAAACGGGA
rnacentral:rRNA from 1 species